UACCAGGUAAUCUCGGAUCGUGCUCUUUUGUACACACACUCACCUCUGUAUAGCUACAGAGAUAGAUUAUUUACAGACGUGUACAGAAGCUAGAUAUCCAGCAGAAACCACAGGGGAGAAUUGAGGCUCCUUGGGAUGGAGUUAAGACUGAGAACCAUUAAGGUACUACAAUAUAGAACACUCUACUACAGAUCAAGGCCUCAUCUGAUUCUGGCACAUCAGACGCGUAAUACUUGAUUGCAUGUAUCAAUGUCCAUAAUGUUGCUUUACAAAUUUCCUUGUAUGGUCUAAGAUUUCUAUGCCCAUGAUGCACAGUUGUUCUUAGAGAAUAGGCUUUGAUUUUGGAUGGUAGAGAAGAGCAUUUUUUUGAGUCAAAUCCAUCCUAUUACGACUGAGUGCCUCUACCUUCUCUCAAUGGGUAACUGCUGGAUAAAAACAAAAAGGGGUGAUGCACUUCUGCGUCCUUUGUUUUUUUUCACUGUCUAUAUUGAAAGCUCUAGCAAUGUCUAGUUUGUGCCAGAACUUCUCCUUCAGCUAAAUUUGGCUUACUUUACAGAGAGUUUACAGUACUUGAAUUAAUUACUGCAUA